UAGUCCAUGCCGUCAACUAUGAGAGCUCAUCUUAGAAAAACUGAGAUUUAGUUAACACGUUAAGCUCUUCGCCAGGGAGGUACGAUUGCAAGGUUAAAACUCAAAGGAAUUGACGGGAAUCCAUACAAACGGUGGAGCAUGUGGUUUAAUUCGAUACAACGCGUAAAAUCUUACCAGAAUUUGUAUAAAUUUACUAUGAAUUUACAAGAUUGCAUGGCUGUCGUCAGCUCGUGUCGUAAGAUGUCUGGUUAAGUCCAAUAACGAGCGCAACCCUUAUCCUUAGUUACCAGCAUUAAGUUGGGGACUCUAGGGAGACUGCCGGUGUUAAACCGGAGGAAGGCGGGGAUGACGUCAAGUCCUCAUGGCCCUUACGGGUAGGGCUACACACGUACUACAAUGGCAGAUACAAACCGUUUGCAAAGCCGCGAGGUUGAGCUAAUCGGUAAAACACUGUCCCAGUCCGGAUUGGAGUCUGCAACUCGACUCCAUGAAGAUGGAAUCGCUAGUAAUCGCUGA
rnacentral:rRNA from 1 species